ACCCCAUUGUAUGGGUGAAGUUGUGUGAAAGAUGGGGCAGCGAUGCCUUUAAGAAAAUUUCAGCUCAAAAUCGGGAGAACCGAAACAAGCAGGCGAUUAAUCACAUAUCAGGACGUAAAUCAUUCAUCCGAUUACUUGAGCAAAAGCGCACUGAGAAUGGGAAUUUAGUCGACUUCUACAAAGAGACGAGCUGG